GUGGUUCAGCUGCUGAGUCUGGUGCUGUAAUAGAUGCCUUCUCUGACCCAUCUAGCGGUGAAGAGCCUUAAACAGUCAUAUCCUAGUGCAGCAGAUAGAUAUAUCGGGUUUGUCUGUGUAGUUUGGCCAUCGUGCUGUUUAUUUUUAGUGUUUUGUUUUGUGUUUAAACGUGUUGUUUUCAAUAAAUUCUGAAUUCUUCACUGGGAUAUGAGUAUUCAAGUCUUCUCACAGUUAUUUUGAAAUGAAUUUGAAAUGCAACACACCUUCACGUGAUUAGGUACAAGGAAACAGAAAGUCAUUUUUCACAGAGCAAAUAGAGAUGUCUUUGAAAUACCUGCAUAUCUCAAACACUCUAAUGGUUCUGCUUCCUUGGCAUCUGGACAUGCAGUAGAGGUGGCGAUUGCUGUUCUGGUUCUUCUGCUUUGUGUUUCAGGGUAAAAUGCUGCAGAUUCAUGAAUCGCAAAAAAAAACACCCCUUCAGAGUACGACUGGAAGAGUAGCAUGUUUUAUUUACUGUGUAAUCAGGCUUGAUUGCUUGAGUAAUUGUUUACACACCCUCAUAAUUAUGGAGCUCUCCCCCCAACUUGUGGUUGUGAUCCGAGCACAGAAGACUAUGCCUGCACAGCUCAUAUUUCUAGCUAUAUUGUGAUGCAAAACCUCAGCUCUGUAACUGCUUGUCAGAGCGAGUCUGGCUCUCUUCUACAAUGGUUAAGAUUUUGCCUCGUCCUCCCAUUCCCCGUGUCCGCAUUAGGAAGACCGGCCCAACCAGAAUGCUUGGUUGCCUGUUGAGCUGUCACUACAAGGUCGCAGUGUGACACAACCUGAAACCAGUGUGGCACGCAAUGACAGACUAGGUCUCGUGUAGAGACGCUGGAGUUAGAAAUAUAUAAUCAACACUUUCUGUAAUGACACAUAUUUUAUAUGUUAGAUUUUUUUCUUAAAUGAGCUGACUUUUAAACACAACCUAAAUAAGGGAGUUGACAAUGAAAACACAAUGGAAAAUACAUUUGCAAAUGCCUGCUGGCUUGAUUUCUUAAAGUUGCAACCUAAUCCCAAAUAA